rnacentral:misc_RNA from 1 species
GGGGUCCCUGGAUAUUUCCUCUGCUGGUCAUUGGUACAUUAAAAUCUUAGGACUACUACCUACGAGCCACAGCUCAGAUUAACAGACUUCAAUUUACUACAGAAUUUUAAAUUGAAAAAAAAAAAAACUAGAAUUCAAUUACUACAAUUUCUGUUUGGAGUUCCUCUUCUUGGUUUUGAGAUCAAAUUUCGGGUAGUAAUGGCUGUUGGGCAUCAAAAAUUGGAACUACAAGAAUUGCAAUUGUUCAGCAAACUGGAAAGCAUGUCAUUUUGGUAUUCUUUUGUACAGCUUGUACAACCCAAAAACAUUCUUCUCUUGCCACAGAUA